rnacentral:SRP_RNA from 1 species
GGGUGGGUCCGGCGCGGCGGAGACCUUCGAACCCCGUCAGGGCCGGAAGGCAGCAGCGGUAAGAAGUCAUCUCUGGGUGCCGCCGGGGUGCCUGCCCGGG